rnacentral:lncRNA from 1 species
UCAUGCAUUACAGCGCCCAUUCCACGGACAAUAACCGGUGCUUGGAGCCAGCGCCCAUUCCACGGACAAUAACCGGUGCUUGGAGGCAGGUUUCCCAGUGCAGCUGACAGAGGCAGCGCAACAGGGGCACCUCAAAGGUCUGCCGCACCUGUGGUUCAAAAUCACAUCAUUCUACCGCACAUCAUUUUGCCAAGAUGUGCUGUUCAAUCCCGGCUGCUCUACCGCCACACGUGGGACCCCCCCCUUGUUCUCUACCGCCACACGUGGGACCCCCCCCCUUGUUCUCUACCGCCACACGUGGGACCCCCACCUGGUUCUCUCACCUGCUGUUGUCUCUAGGUCCUGCCGCUUUGCGCUAUUCAACAUCCGCAAAAUCAGGCCGUACCUAACCCAGUAUGCCACCCAGCUGCUGGUGCAAACCUUGGUGAAUUCACGCCUUGAUUACUGCAACGCCCUCCUAACGGGCCUGCCGGCUUGCGUGGUGAAACCACUACAAAUGAUCCAGAACGCGGCGGCGCGUCUGGUGUUCAACCAACCGAAGAGGGCACACGUCACCCCGCUACUCAUUGAGCUCCACUGGCUGCCGGUAGCUGCUCGCAUUAAGUUCAAGUCACUUAUGCUUGCCUACAGAGUGCUCGAUGGUUCUGCUCCCACCUACCUAAAUGCUCUUGUAAGGGCAAAUGUUACACCCAGGAUGCUGCGCUCUUCUAGUGAGCGUCGUUUGGCACUGCCGUCUGUGCAAGUACGGCAGUCCAGACUAUUCUCAUUUGUAGUUCCACGUUGGUGGAAUGAACUACCCAGCACUACCAGAGCAGGGGCGUCCCUCUCUACCUUUAAGAAGCUUUUGAAGACCCAACUCUUCAGAGAGCACUUCCCGUCCUAACUGGCACUUCGACUAGUGCGUAACUUGCAAUUACAGCAGUUACACUUCUGCACUCCUUCUUUCUUUUUAUUUCAUUUUGUUAUAUUUCUAAUGUAAAGUAGUAUUUAUUUAUUGUUACACCAGGUUCUAUUGCUCGUAGCUUGAAUAUUCUCUCCCUUGUACGUCGCUU